AUGGAGGUAAAGAAAGUGAGGCGAGUGAAGACUAUUUUGCCAUCACUGAUACCCACCUCCCAUAUUAAGUAGCAGAGAGAACAUCCCUGGUCUACAGGGCAAAGCCUUGGAUCACUGCAUCUGCUUACAAAG
rnacentral:snoRNA from 14 species